UACGGCUCAGUAACACGUGGCUAACCUGCCCUCGGGACGAGAACACCCCCGGGAAACUGGGGCUAAUUCUCGAUAGGCGAAGAACUCUGGAAUGAGUCUUCACCCAAAAGACGUUUAGAUCAUGCUUUUAGGCGUCGCCCAAGGAUGGGGCCGCGACCGAUCAGGUUGUUGGUGAGGUAAUGGCUCACCAAGCCUUUAACCGGUGCGGGCCGUGGGAGCGGGAGCCCGGAGAUGGGCACUGAGACAAGGGCCCAGGCCCUACGGGGCGCAGCAGUCGCGAAAACUUUGCAAUAAGCGAAAGCUUGACAGGGCUAUCCCGAGUGCCAUCCGCUGAGGAAGGCUUUUACCCAGUCUAGUAAGCUGGGGGAAUAAGGAGAGGGCAAGUCUGGUGUCAGCCGCCGCGGUAAUACCAGCUCUCCGAGUGGUGUGGAUGUUUAUUGGGCCUAAAGCAUCCGUAGCUGGCUGAGUUAGUCCCCUGUUAAAUCCACCGAAUCAAUCGUUGGAUUGCGGGGGAUACUGUUCGGCUAGGGGACGGGAGAGGCAGACGGUAUUUUCGGGGUAGGGGUGAAAUCCUAUAAUCCCGGGAAGACCACCAGUGGCGAAGGCUGUCUGCUAGAACGCGCCCGACGGUGAGGGAUGAAAGCUGGGGUAGCGAACCGGAUUAGAUACCCGGGUAGUCCCAGCUGUAAACGAUGCAGGCUAGGUGUUUGGGCG
rnacentral:rRNA from 1 species